rnacentral:snoRNA from 1 species
ACCCUGUGAUUGCCAGGUGCUACUGUGCAGUUGGAGCACUCCGGUGGAUUAGAGGGGCAGAGCAGCCCUGUGGUUCAUGCAGGGAUCUGCCACUCCACAGUCAGUUCAUGGCUCUUACUGGAAUAGGU